AGCCAAUUCACUGUGGCCGAUCACCAGCCUCACAGACUAAGGGGGCAGCCCUGCCCCUGCCUACGCCCCUACCACUGCUGAAGCCAUCUCCUUGCCGACAAACACAAGCAGAAACUUCUCAGGAUCUGCUGCCUCUUGUUCCAAGGAUUAGGCGAGCUUCUGUCUUGAGGACAGAAGAGGCAGCUGGAAGAUCAGGGUUGUGGUUGAAGAAGGCCUAGGAGGACACAAGGCUGGAAGGUUGGGACACCAGAUGGCAUGGACAGUGGGUUGCCCUGCUGUGCAGCAGCCAGCUCUCAACUGCAACCGAGCACUCUACAGACUUAGCAGGCACCUGCAGACGUAACUUGUGGGAGUGGGGAGAGAGGAGGAAAGCGCUGCGCUCAACAGAAACUAGGAAGAUCGAUGAGAAAUGGCCUUGCAGCAGUUCCAAAAGGGUGGGGAGGCA
rnacentral:lncRNA from 10 species